GCUAUUUCUGGCUCCUGAGUACAUCUCAUCCUUCCCACGCCAGCCCCGGUACAAAGGGCACAAACUCUUCUUUCCACUCCUCGUCCUCCACUGCCGGCUCCGUCCCCGCUGCUCAGGGGUCUCCGGACGCUUUUUCCUGGUCCUUCUCAUUUUCUGGGCAAGAGGCUUUCCAUCCAAAGCUUCAUGUGGGAGGCUUCAUGUUGGCAUCCAGAGUACAUGUCCCAAAUAUGUCCAACCUCACUUUCUGAUCCUAGUGCCAAAGAGCUGCAGACAGAUGACAGCAGCUAUCCUCCUUCCAUACUGAGGAAAAGGCCACCUGUGGACCAAGCUGUGGGGGAAAAGCGGAGAGCAGAGAGAAGGGUUCGAUUUCGUGAGCCAGAAGAAGUCAUUGAACAUGUAAUUUCCUGCUGUGACUACGUAGUGGCAGAUGACAGGACAUCAUCUGGAUUGCCUGUGCUCCUGUGGCUCUUGUUUUGUGCAGUGCUGAUCCUUGCUGUGAGUCUCUACUACACCAGCAUGAAGCAAAAUGUCACAGUCCUGGAGGAAUUUCAAUCCCGACUUGUCAUCUUCUUUCUUCAUAUAAGACAUGUUGCUCAGAGGUGCUGGACUUGGUUUCUGAGGCAGUAGCAGUGUCCUCCAGCCUGACACUGCUAAGAAACAUCAGUGCAAAGCUCCCAGCCUACUGCAGCCACAUGCAAGGAACACAUGAGCAUCCACCUCAAAGAGCAAGAAAAUCACCCCUGCUGUGCACCAUCCAGAAAACACUUGUUCUCCUUUUUCCUUCUUUGCUGUUUUCCUUUGUUUCACAUCAAUGAACAUUCAAACUAAUGCCUUGAGGUCCCACCAAACUCAGGCACCAUCACCCUGAACAUCAAACAAGUAUCUAGAUUUUGUUACCCAGAAUUAAUAAACUGCUGAUAUGAGGAACA
rnacentral:lncRNA from 1 species